CACGUAGGCACCAAGCGUUGUCCGGAUUUAUUGGGCGUAAAGAGCUCGUAGGCGGUUCGGUAAGUCGGGUGUGAAAACUUUGGGCUUAACCCAAAGCGUGCAUCCGAUACUGCUGUGACUUGAGUUCGGUAGGGGAGUGGGGAAUUCCUAGUGUAGCGGUGAAAUGCGCAGAUAUUAGGAGGAACACCAAUGGCGAAGGCAGCUCUCUGGGACGGUACUGACGCUGAGACGCGAAAGCGUGGGGAGCGAACAGG
rnacentral:rRNA from 1 species